GAUGAACGCUGGCGGCGUGCCUAACACACGCAAGUCGAACGAAGCACCUUACCUGAUUCUUCGGAUGAAAGUUUGGUGACUGAGUGGCGGACGGGUGAGUAACACGUUGCUAACCUGCCCUGGAUAGGGGGAUAAAAGCUGGAAACGGAUGCUAAUACCGCAUAAGCUCACGAGGAGACAUCUCCUUGGGUGAAAAACUCGGGUGGUACAGGAUGGGCGCGCGUCUGAUUAGCGGGGUGGCAGGGUAACGGCCUACCAAGGCAAGGUUCAGUAGCCGGUCGGGGAGGCUGAACGGCCACAUCGGCAAUGAGACACGGUCCAGAGUCCUACUGGAGGCAGGGGUGAGGAAUCUUGCACAAUGGGGGCAACACUGAUGCAGCACCGCCGCGUGAGUGCAUAAGUAUUUCGGUAUGUACAGCUCUAUCAGAAGGGAAGAUACUGACGGUACCUGACUAAGAAGCGCCGGCUAACUACGUG
rnacentral:rRNA from 1 species